GGUGAACGCUGGCGGUAGGCCUAACACAUGCAAGUCGAACGGCAGCACAGUAAGAGCUUGCUCUUACGGGUGGCGAGUGGCGGACGGGUGAGGAAUACAUCGGAAUCUACUUUUUCGUGGGGGAUAACGUAGGGAAACUUACGCUAAUACCGCAUACGACCUACGGGUGAAAGCAGGGGAUCUUCGGACCUUGCGCGAUUGAAUGAGCCGAUGUCGGAUUAGCUAGUUGGCGGGGUAAAGGCCCACCAAGGCGACGAUCCGUAGCUGGUCUGAGAGGAUGAUCAGCCACACUGGAACUGAGACACGGUCCAGACUCCUACGGGAGGCAGCAGUGGGGAAUAUUGGACAAUGGGCGCAAACCUGAUCCAGCCAUACCGCGUGGGUGAAGAAGGCCUUCGGGUUGUAAAGCCCUUUUGUUGGGAAAGAAAAGCAGCAGGUUAAUACCCCGCUGUUCUGACGGUACCCAAAGAAUAAGCACCGGCUAACUUCGUG
rnacentral:rRNA from 1 species